GACGAACGCUGGCGGCGUGCUUAACACAUGCAAGUCGAACGAUGAAGCCUAGCUUGCUAGGUGGAUUAGUGGCGAACGGGUGAGUAAUACGUGAGUAACCUACCUUUAACUCUGGGAUAAGCCCGGGAAACUGGGUCUAAUACCGGAUACGACCAAUCUCCGCAUGGGGUGUUGGUGGAAAGCGUUAUGUAGUGGUUAUAGAUGGGCUCACGGCCUAUCAGCUUGUUGGUGAGGUAACGGCUCACCAAGGCGACGACGGGUAGCCGGCCUGAGAGGGUGACCGGCCACACUGGGACUGAGACACGGCCCAGACUCCUACGGGAGGCAGCAGUGGGGAAUAUUGCACAAUGGGCGCAAGCCUGAUGCAGCGACGCCGCGUGAGGGAUGACGGCCUUCGGGUUGUAAACCUCUGUUAGCAGGGAAGAAGAGAGAUUGACGGUACCAGCAGAGAAAGCGCCGGCUAACUACGU
rnacentral:rRNA from 1 species